UAGGUUAAUGAUGACCAUUGCUGUUGUAUGUAUGUGCUAUUGAUUGUGCCUGCAGGUCUGGGAGUCUGAGGUCCAC
rnacentral:snoRNA from 1 species